ACCUAAGGUAGAGGAGCUGUUUAUAAAGAGUACUUAUUAGGAGUCGGCAGAUGUUGAUUAAUAAGGAAAGGUAUAAUGGCCGAAGAAAUGAAUCAAGCAAAAAUUUAUUUCUGGGUAUGCAUAAAAUAUAUGUAUAACUGUCACGUAAGUGGAGAGCUACAAGGAUG
rnacentral:ncRNA from 1 species